GCUUCAUCCAUGAUAAUGCCCCUUGGAUACAGGACAAGGACACCAGCCCCCACAGAGAGUGGCAGCAGGUGGAGACCAAACACGGGAUGAGAAGGGGUGCUUGGAGCAGGUACUUAAGGCAACUGGAUAUACUGCGUGACAGAGAAGGUGUCCGACAGCGGGCACUGCUGUCCCCACGUGCUCCUCAGUUCCCGCUUACUCCCUGUGCUGGGGACCUCAGGAGGUCCCAGCCAGGUGAUAUUCAGGUCUUCAGCUGCAUCCCUGAUUGUCCUCUGAGCUCUUUUC